rnacentral:rRNA from 1 species
GNAUAGCUAGUGAAGCAAUAGCAGAAUUCAGUGAAUCAUCGAUUCUUUGAACGCACAUUGCGCCCCUUGGUAUCCCGAGGGGCAUGCCUGUUCGAGCGUCAUU